AGUCAAGUCCGCUCUCUCUCUCUAAAUCCCUCUCUUCUCACUAUCUUUGCUGCAUCUCUCUCACAGCUGCUGUGGCCUGUGAUACGAGAAGAAACGCUGCAGAUGGCAGAUUCUGUAGAGCCGCGGGACUCCGUCGCAGAACCGUCGGACUCCGACGCAGAAUCUGAAUUCUCCAGCGAGAUGAAGAUCUUUGUGCGGUUGGAGGCCGUCCAUAGCUACGUUCUUCUGGUGGACGGCGAUAACACCGUCGAAUUCAGAUUCACAUUUCUAGCUAAGUUUAUUUUUAAAUAAAAUAAACGAAACGAGUAGCGUGUUACCUAUCUCUCAAAAAAAAAAAAAACACCGCCGAGGAUGUGCUGGUCAAGUUCUUGGCAGCGACAGGGCUGGGCGGGUGCCGGAGCCGAGGCUUUAUUUCAAUGACUUGGAAUUGGAGAAGCAGAAAACGUUGGCGGAAUACGGAAUCAAACUCGGCUCCGUGCUGCACCUCAAGUGCACGACGCGGGUGUUGGCACGUGCUCAUGAGUAUGCUUAAUUGGCUAAUAAUUUUAAUUUCGAAUUGGUUUCAUAUUAA